AGAGAUGGCGAGCGUUACUCGGAUUUAUUGGGUGUAAAGGGCAGGUAGGUGUUCUGCUAAGUUAGUGGUGAAAUCCUGCAGCUCAACUGCAGAACUGCCACUAAUACUGGUAGAAUUGAGGUUAGAAGAGGAGAGCGGAAUUCCCGGUGUAAGAGUGAAAUCUGUAGAUAUCGGGAGGAACACCAGUGGCGAAGGCGGCUCUCUGGUCCGAUACUGACGCUGAGACGCGAAAGCGUGGGGAGCAAACAGGAUUAGAUACCCUGGUAGUCCACGCCGUAAACGAUGGGCACUAGGUGUAGGAGGUAUUGACCCCUUCUGUGCCGAAGCUAACGCAUUAAGUGCCCCGCCUGGGGAGUACGGCCGCAAGGCUA
rnacentral:rRNA from 1 species